ACUACCGAUCAGUUGCUAACCAGUUUGGAGUGGGAAAGUCGACCGUUGGAAUCGUGUUGAUGCAAGUUUGCAGGGCCGUUAAUCAUAUCCUGCUCAGAAGAAUCAUGACUCUGGGUAAUGUGUGGGACAUUGUGGAUGGC